UUAACCUGCGGGGAGGAUCAUUG
rnacentral:rRNA from 1 species